rfam:Triticum aestivum genome assembly, contig: Triticum_aestivum_CS42_TGACv1_scaffold_433455_5DL
AAUGUACUCCCUCCGUCCGAAAUUACUUGUCGCAAAAAUGGAUCAAAAUGGAUAUAUCUAGAAUUAAAAUACAUCUACAUACAUCCAUUUUUCCAACAAGUAUUUCCGGACGAAGGGAGUAAUUU